CCUACGGGCGGCAGCAGUGAGGAAUAUUGGUCAAUGGACGAGAGUCUGAGCCAGCCAAGUAGCGUGAAGGAUGACUGCCCUAUGGGUUGUAAACUUCUUUUAUAUGGGAAUAAAAUGUUCCACGUGUGGGAUUUUGUAUGUACCAUAUGAAUAAGGAUCGGCUAACUCCGUGCCAGCAGCCGCGGUAAUACGGAGGAUCCGAGCGUUAUCCGGAUUUAUUGGGUUUAAAGGGAGCGUAGGUGGAUUGUUAAGUCAGUUGUGAAAGUUUGCGGCUCAACCGUAAAAUUGCAGUUGAAACUGGCAGUCUUGAGUACAGUAGAGGUGGGCGGAAUUCGUGGUGUAGCGGUGAAAUGCUUAGAUAUCACGAAGAACUCCGAUUGCGAAGGCAGCUCACUGGACUGCAACUGACACUGAGGCUCGAAAGCGUGGGUAGCAAACAGGAUUAGAUACCCCGGUAGUC
rnacentral:rRNA from 1 species